GUUCAUCUGUGUCUGCAAUAUUAUACAUGUACAUGUAAUUUUGUCAGAUGUGUAUGUCUUUCUGAAGGGAUGCAACUAACCACAGCUGAAAGUUUUAUAUGAAUAUGCUAUGAUUUUAAUUUGAUAUGUCUGUCUAGCAGGGUUCUUAGUCUUGAAUGCACAAUGUUUUUGUUAGAUAUAGGUAGCUGUCAGUUAUCUGCGAGUACUCUCAGAUCUGUACCUAGUGUCUUUUUCUUGUCAGAUAAAAUGUACAAGUACCCGGCCAUGACCAAAAAGGUCCACCUGUAUUUUUGUGCAUCUGAUGAGUUGAGCCUUUUUCAACUGAUUUUUAUAGUUGUUUCUAAUGCUGUACUGUUGAACCACUGUCCCAACUUAGGGGGAGGGUUGGGAUCCUGCUAUCAUGUUUACCCUUGCCAUAUUAUGGAUGUGUGUGUCUGUCCCAAGUCAAAAACCUGUAAUUCAGUGGUUGUCUUUUUUUUAUGUGUUACAUAUUUGUUUUUCAUUCGUUUUUUGUACCCAAGUUAGGCUGUUGGUGACAUUCAGGGUCUUUUAUAGAAGACUAUGUGGUAUGGGCUUUGCUCAUUGCUGAAGGCUGUACAUUGACCAAUAGUGUCAUUUUCAUCUCUUUUGGAGAUUUGUCUUAAUAUUGGCAAUCAUACCACAUCUUUCUUUUUUUUAUUCAUCUGAAUGUUUUUUUUAGGGUCCCUAAAAGGAUGAAGAAUCUUCUUAAUUUGAACUUGUGCAAAUGUUAAUAUGUAGAUAGACAACUACCAUAAAACAAGAAACCAACAGAUGAGUUUAUAACGAAGACUACAGGUACAAUAUAAUAUUACAUAUUAAGGCAUAAAUCUUAAUAUACCUUAUAUUGACUGUGUUUGAAAAAUACACUGUUUUAGUAAUUAUUCUGCUCAUUUUGGAGGUCGUGAUUUGCAAAUAAACAAAUAUUUAAAUUUGUAUUUGUUUGAUUUUGGCAUAAUAAAACAAAGUCAAUGUUCAAUUUCUGCUACUGUAAACACAAUUUGUUUAAUCUGAGUUUGCUAGUAGACUGAAGGUUAAAUACACAUGUCUGCUAUAUCAUGUACAAUUAUUCAUUAAGCUGCUACCCAACACCUGACUAAAAUUAACUUGGCUCGUUCAAUUUUCACAAAAUUUUUACAAAAUAUUUACUUUGACCCUUUGAAAUGAAUACAAAAAUUUCAAAAAACUUGAACCAAUUGAUUUCUAGGAAGAAAUGGUUGAAUAUACAUGUAUUUCAGUUUGACAAACACUAGUUCGAUCAUUGAAAAGCUUAAAAUUUCCUGAACAGUAUAACAUGAUUAAAAUGAUUAACUGAUUUUACAGAGUUAUCUCCAGUAUUUAAGGUACUACCUUAAAUGAACAAAAUAUUAUGUAUAUGUCAUUCAGAAAUUUUUCGAUGUGAAUACUAUAUAGCCUGACAACUGUCCAUAUCUUUUCAGAUGAUUAAAAUGUUUAUAAAAAGCUUUUAUUAAAGUUAAAGAUUAUUGAAACUAUCAAUUUGAUUAUGAUUCAUAACAUCUUCAAAAAUCAUUUGCUGAUCUUUUACUUAAAUAUUGGUAUAUAUACAUGUAUAGUGUAAGAUAAUAUUGUAUACGUUAUGCAUGCAUAUCAAAACUUGUUAUUUGUCAUUACAUUUGCUUUCGGAUCUUUCAAAAACCACAUUUACUUAAUUUUUUUUUUUUUUGGAUUAGAAUAUAAAUGAAUUACCAAUAAGUUGAAUAACAGAAUAAUUUUUCAUAUUAUUAUCUUUUCAUUAAAUGAUUUGUGAACCCAGAUUAUUGGUCAAAACUUUUUGUCUCUACCACUUCCUAAUUAUUUCUUUCAGAAACAAUAUGAAGACGUGCAAAAAAGGAAAUCUAAAUCUUAAACCUUAUAUGCCUUAAUACCCAGAAAAAACUUUUAACUUUCUGCAGCUUACAACAUGUACAAUAU
rnacentral:lncRNA from 1 species